AACUAACAAGGAUUCCCCUAGUAACUGCGAGUGAACCGGGAAAAGCUCAAAUUUUGAAUCUGGCGGUCUUUAUGGCCGUCCGAGUUGUAAUCUAGAGAAGCGUCUUCCGCGCUGGACCGUGUAUAAGUUUCCUGGAAUGGAACGUCGUAGAGGGUGAGAAUCCCGUCUUUGACACGGACUGCCAGGGCUAUGUGAUGCGCUCUCGACGAGUCGAGUUGUUUGGGAAUGCAGCUCAAAUAGGGUGGUAAAUUCCAUCUAAAGCUAAAUAUAGGCGAGAGACCGAUAGCGAACAAGUACCGUGAGGGAAAGAUGAAAAGAACUUUGGAAAGAGAGUUAAACAGUACGUGAAAUUGCUGAAAGGGAAACGCUUGAUGUCAGUCGCGUUUGUCGGGGAUCAGCCUUGCUCUUUUGCUCGGCGUACUUCCUGGCGAACGGGUCAGCAUCAGUUUUGUUCGUCGGAAAAUGGCUCGAGAAAUGUGGCACUCUUCGGGGUGUGUUAUAGACUCGGGUCGAAUACGACGUUCGGGACUGAGGAACUCAGCACGACCUUCGGGUUCGGGGCUUAGGCCCACGUUAACGUGCUUAGGAUGCUGGCAUAAUGGCCUUAAGCGACCCGUCUUGAAACACGGACCAAGGAGUCUAACUCGCAUGCGAGUGUUUGGGCGAUUAAAACCCGAGCGCGUAAUGAAAGUGAAAGUCGAGACCCCUGUCGUGGGGGGCAUCGACGCCCGGACCAGAGCUUCUGCGACGGAUCUGCGGUAGAGCAUGCGUGUUGGGACCCGAAAGAUGGUGAACUAUGCCUGAAUAGGGUGAAGCCAGAGGAAA
rnacentral:rRNA from 1 species